AACGAACGCUGGCGGCAGGCUUAACACAUGCAAGUCGAGCGCCCCGCAAGGGGAGCGGCAGAUGGGUGAGUAACGCGUGGGAACGUACCCUUUGCUACGGAAUAGCUCCGGGAAACUGGAAUUAAUACCGUAUGUGCCCUACGGGGGAAAGAUUUAUCGGCAAAGGAUCGGCCCGCGUUGGAUUAGCUAGUUGGUGGGGUAAUGGCCUACCAAGGCGACGAUCCAUAGCUGGUCUGAGAGGAUGAUCAGCCACAUUGGGACUGAGACACGGCCCAAACUCCUACGGGAGGCAGCAGUGGGGAAUAUUGGACAAUGGGCGCAAGCCUGAUCCAGCCGUGCCGCGUGAGUGAUGAAGGCCUUAGGGUUGUAAAGCUCUUUCACCGGAGAAGAUAAUGACGGUAUCCGGAGAAGAAGCCCCGGCUAACUUCGUGCCAGCCGCCGCGGUAAGAC
rnacentral:rRNA from 1 species